rnacentral:rRNA from 1 species
UACGGAGGGUGCAAGCGUUAUCCGGAUUCACUGGGUUUAAAGGGUGCGUAGGUGGGCAGGUAAGUCCGUGGUGAAAUCCUAUAGCUUAACUAUAGAACUGCCAUGGAUACUAUUUGUCUUGAAUAUCGUAGAGGUAAGCGGAAUAUGUCAUGUAGCGGUGAAAUGCUUAGAUAUGACAUAGAACACCAAUUGCGAAGGCAGCUUGCUAUGCGAUUAUUGACACUGAGGCACGAAAGCGUGGGUAGCAAACAGG